rnacentral:rRNA from 1 species
UGGGGAAUAUUGGACAAUGGGCGAAAGCCUGAUCCAGCCAUGCCGCGUGUGUGAAGAAGGUCUUCGGAUUGUAAAGCACUUUAAGUUGGGAGGAAGGGUUGUAGAUUAAUACUCUGCAAUUUUGACGUUACCGACAGAAUAAGCACCGGCUAACUCUGUGCCAGCAGCCGCGGUAAUACAGAGGGUGCAAGCGUUAAUCGGAAUUACUGGGCGUAAAGCGCGCGUAGGUGGUUUGUUAAGUUGGAUGUGAAAUCCCCGGGCUCAACCUGGGAACUGCAUUCAAAACUGAAUGACUAGAGUAUGGUAGAGGGUGGUGGAAUUUCCUGUGUAGCGGUGAAAUGCGUAGAUAUAGGAAGGAACACCAGUGGCGAAGGCGACCACCUGGACUAAUACUGACACUGAGGUGCGAAAGCGUGGGGAGCAAACAGG